rnacentral:tRNA from 1 species
GCGGAGAUCGCAUAGCCUGGUAUUGCGCCGGAUUUGAAAUCCGGUGGUGCACGCCGCGGGAGUUCAAAUCUCCCUCUCCGCG